rnacentral:rRNA from 2 species
GGACUACCAGGGUAUCUAAUCCUGUUUGAUCCCCACGCUUUCGUGCCUGAGUGUCAAUAUUCGUGUAGCCAGCUGCCUUCGCAAUUGGUAUUCUAUGUCAUCUCUAAGCAUUUCACCGCUACAUGACAUAUUCUACUGACCUCCACGGUAUUCAAGACUGAUAGUAUCAAUGGCAGUUUCCGAGUUAAGCCCGGAGAUUUCACCACUGACUUACCAACCCACCUACGCACCCUUUAAACCCAGUGAAUCCGGAUAACGCUUGCACCCUCCGUAUUACCGCGGCUGCUGGCAC